UGCCGAGGCCAAGGGAACAGCGCCCAGGGGGAGAGACUGUACAACCAGGAUGGUGUCGGCUACUGGAGGAUCUGGAGUGAUGAAAGGUAGCCGGCGGGGCGGUGAGGGUCGUUUCCUUUAAAAUUAAGUGUAAGCGCGGCCAUAUGUUCUGAUUACUUCACUUUCCAAGUUAAAACAUUUUUUUAAUGGGGCGCCUGGGUGGCGCAGUCGGUUAAGCGUCCGACUUCAGCCA